rnacentral:rRNA from 1 species
UACGAAGGGGACUAGCGUUGUUCGGAAUCACUGGGCGUAAAGCGCACGUAGGCGGAUCUUUAAGUCAGAGGUGAAAUCCCAAGGCUCAACCUUGGAACUGCCUUUGAUACUGGGGAUCUCGAGUCCGGAAGAGGUGAGUGGAACUGCGAGUGUAGAGGUGAAAUUCGUAGAUAUUCGCAAGAACACCAGUGGCGAAGGCGGCUCACUGGCCCGGUACUGACGCUGAGGUGCGAAAGCGUGGGGAGCAAACAGG